CCUACGGGAGGCAGCAGUAGGGAAUAUUGCUCAAUGGGGGAAACCCUGAAGCAGCAACGCCGCGUGGAGGAUGAAGGUUUUCGGAUUGUAAACUCCUUUUGUUAGAGAAGAUAAUGACGGUAUCUACCGACUAAGCACCGGCUAACUCCGUGCCAGCAGCCGCGGUCAUACGGAGGGUGCAAGCGUUACUCGGAAUCACUGGGCGUAAAGAGCGCGUAGGCGGGGUAGCAAGUCAGAUGUGAAAUCCUAUGGCUUAACCAUAGAACUGCAGUUGAAACUGUUAUUCUAGAGUAUGGGAGAGGUAGGUGGAAUUCUUGGUGUAGGGGUAAAAUCCGUAGAGAUCAAGAGGAAUACUCAUUGCGAAGGCGACCUGCUAGAACAUAACUGACGCUGAUGCGCGAAAGCGUGGGGAGCAAACAGGAUUAGAUACCCGAGUAGUC
rnacentral:rRNA from 1 species